AACGUAGGAGACAAACGUUAUCCGGAGUUACUGGGCGUAAAGGGCGUGUAGGCGGUUUGUUAAGUCUGGCGUGAAAGCUCUCGGCUAAACCGGGAGAGGUCGUUGGAUACUGGCAAACUAGAGGACGGUAGAGGCGUGUGGAAUUCCGGGUGUAGUGGUGAAAUGCGUAGAGAUCCGGAGGAACACCAGUGGCGAAGGCGGGUCUCUGGACAGUUCCUGACACUGAGACACGAAGGCCAGGGGAGCAAACGGG
rnacentral:rRNA from 1 species